rnacentral:pre_miRNA from 1 species
UGAGGUAGUAGGUUGUAUUGUUCAAGGCCAAAGAUGUCGACAUUUGAGUUAACGGUACAACCUACUGCCUUCC